rnacentral:misc_RNA from 1 species
UUUCCGUAGGUGAACCUGCGGAAGGAUCAUUAAAGAGUAAGGGUCUUCGGGCCCGAUCUCCAACCCUUUGUUUAACUACCAUGUUGCUUUGGCGGGCCCGUCUCACGACCGCCGGAAGUUUGGCUUCGACCAAACUUCUGGCCCGUGCCCGUCAGUGGCCCCUUCAAAUUCUUGAUAAAGUAUGAUGUCUUAGUUAAAAACUUAAUAGUUAAAACUUUCAACAACGGAUCUCUUGGUUCUG